rnacentral:misc_RNA from 1 species
CCCAACUAUCCCUAUUAAUCAUUACGUCGAUCCUAGAAACCAACAAAAUAGGGUCAAACGUCUUAUUUCAUUAUUCCAUACUAAUGUAUUCAAGCUAAUGCCUGCUUUAAACACUCUAAUUUUUUCAAAGUAACAGUCCUAACUCCCCAUAAUACCAAAUUAAUGACAUCAUGGUUCGUCAGAAGGGAGAAAUCAAUGAUACCAGUACGUACCAGAGACACGACCGAUAUAUUGAUCCCAAAAUUCAACUACGAGCUUUUUAACUGCAACAACUUUAAUAUACGCUAUUGGAGCUGGAAUUACCACGGCUGCUGGCACCAGACUUGCCCUCCA